CAGGUGUAGAAGGGGCUGUCAUUGUUGGUAAGCUCUUGGAAGAGGAUAACACCAACCUGGGCUAUGAUGCUGCCAAAGGUAAAUAUGUGGAUAUGGUGAACGCAUCGAUCCCACUUAAACUGAUCAGAACAUCACUGGUGGAUGCUGUAAGAUCUCUGAUGACUACCAUGGAAGCUCUUAUCUGUCUGCAAUGGGAUAUGGCGGCAUGGGCGGGAUGGGUUUCUAACCUGCUCCCCGACUGAUGUCAAAACAAUGUGAUUCUAUGGACCAUUUAGGCUAGAUAUUUUUGGGGUCUGGGUUCAUCUGUCUGUAUGAGGAGG